UACGGAGGGUGCAAGCGUUGUCCGGAUUUAUUGGGUUUAAAGGGUGCGUAGGCGGUUCUUUUAAGUCUGGGGUGAAAGCCCGUUGCUCAACAACGGAACUGCCCUGGAAACUGGCGAACUUGAGUACAGACGAGGGUGGCGGAAUGGAUGGUGUAGCGGUGAAAUGCAUAGAUACCAUCCAGAACCCCGAUUGCGAAGCAGCUGCCUAGACUGUAACUGACGCUGAGGCACGAAAGCGUGGGGAGCGAACAGG
rnacentral:rRNA from 1 species